rnacentral:rRNA from 1 species
UAGCGUAGGGUGCGAGCGUUGUCCGGAUUUAUUGGGCGUAAAGAGCGUGUAGGCGGCCAGGUAGGUCUGCUGUGAAAACUCGAGGCUUAACCUCGAGCUGUCGGCGGAAACCAUCUGGCUAGAGUCCGGAAGAGGAGAAUGGAAUUCCCGGUGUAGCGGUGAAAUGCGCAGAUAUCGGGAAGAACACCCGUGGCGAAGGCGGUCUCUGGGACGGUACUGACGCUGAGACGCGAAAGCGUGGGGAGCGAACAGG